GACGAACGCUGGCGGCGUGCUUAACACAUGCAAGUCGAACGAUGAAGCCGGAGCUUGCUCUGGUGAAUUAGUGGCGAACGGGUGAGUAACACGUGAGUAACCUGCCCUUGACUCUGGGAUAACUGCGGGAAACUGUAGCUAAUACCGGAUACGACCCUCGGAGGCAUCUCCUGGGGGUGGAAAGAAUUUCGGUCAAGGAUGGACUCGCGGCCUAUCAGCUAGUUGGUGAGGUAAAGGCUCACCAAGGCGGCGACGGGUAGCCGGCCUGAGAGGGUAGCCGGCCACACUGGGACUGAGACACGGCCCAGACUCCUGCGGGAGGCAGCAGUGGGGGAUAUUGCACAAUGGGCGCAAGCCUGAUGCAGCAACGCCGCGUGAGGGAUGACGGCCUUCGGGUUGUAAACCUCUUUUAGCAGGGAAGAAGCGAAAGUGACGGUGCCUGCAGAAAAAGCACCGGCUAACUACGUGCCAGCCGCCGCGGUAA
rnacentral:rRNA from 1 species